rnacentral:rRNA from 1 species
AGAUGCAGGUUACCCGCGACAGGACGGAAAGACCCCAUGGAGCUUUACUGCAGUUUGAUAUUGAGUAUCUGUACCACAUGUACAGGAUAGGUAGGAGCCUACGAAGUCGGGACGCCAGUUUCGACUGAGGCGCUGUUGGGAUACUACCCUUGUGUUAUGGCUACUCUAACCCGGAUAGGUUAUCCCUAUCGGAGACAGUGUCUGACGGGCAGUUUGACUGGGGCGGU